AUUGAACGCUGGCGGCAGGCCUAACACAUGCAAGUCGAGCGGAUGAAGGGAGCUUGCUCCUGGAUUCAGCGGCGGACGGGUGAGUAAUGCCUAGGAAUCUGCCUGGUAGUGGGGGAUAACGUCCGGAAACGGGCGCUAAUACCGCAUACGUCCUGAGGGAGCAAGUGGGGGAUCUUCGGACCUCACGCUAUCAGAUGAGCCUAGGUCGGAUUAGCUAGUUGGUGGGGUAAAGGCCUACCAAGGCGACGAUCCGUAACUGGUCUGAGAGGAUGAUCAGUCACACUGGAACUGAGACACGGUCCAGACUCCUACGGGAGGCAGCAGUGGGGAAUAUUGGACAAUGGGCGAAAGCCUGAUCCAGCCAUGCCGCGUGUGUGAAGAAGGCCUUCGGAUUGUAAAGCACUUUAAGUUGGGAGGAAGGGCAGUAAGUUAAUACCUUGCUGUUUUGACGUUACCAACAGAAUAAGCACCGGCUAACUUCGUG
rnacentral:rRNA from 1 species